rnacentral:rRNA from 1 species
AUUGAACGCUGGCGGCAGGCCUAACACAUGCAAGUCGAGCGGAGCGGCGGACGGGUGAGUAAUGCCUAGGAAUCUGCCUGGGAGUGGGGGAUAACGUCCGGAAACGGGCGCUAAUACAGCAUACUAUCAGCUGAGCCUAGGUAGGAUUCGCUAGUUGGUGGGGUAAAGGCCUACCAAGGCGACGCUCCGUAACUGGUCUGAGAGGAUGAACAGUCACCCUGGAACGGAGACACGGUCCAGACUCCUACGGGAGGCAGCAGUGGGGAAUAUUUGACAAUGGGCGAAAGCCUGAUCCAGCCAUGCCGCGUGUGUGAAGAAGGUCUUCGGGUUGUAAAGUACUUUUGUGAGGGAAGCGGUACCUAAAGAAUAAGCACCGGCUAACUACGUGCCAGCAGCCGCGGUAAUGC